rnacentral:lncRNA from 1 species
CUGAGUCAAUAUUGGAUGGAGUAGAAGGGAUCCCAAAGGUUAUGGAAUGACAGAAACCUGAAGGGAUGUAAGAGUCACGGGAAGAAGAGGAAGGGUUCUACCAAAGUUACUCAGGGGAUCUCCCCAGGUUGGAGGAGGUGGAUGACGUCAUCCUCGAAGCACCCACGUUUCAUGGGAUGUGCACAGGAGCUCACUGAAAAUGUAUUGCGCGACCAGGCUUGUGAAGGAAACAACAGUCUACUCGAAAUUGCAGUCUUACCUCGUCUGUGGUGUGACACGUAUCCAGACGAGCACACAAAGAAUAUGCGCGC